AUUUGUUCCUUUUCCAGAAAAUCAAAAUGCAAACUAAAACCAUUUAAAACCAGUAAUUAUUAAGUCAAGCCAAAAUAAAAUCUCUCGAAAAGAAGCUGCAAAGAGAGCAUCCACGAAAUGACGGAAUCAAAUCUCGUUAUUCUCAACACUAACAUACUGUACUUUAUUGCUCUUCGUUCGAGUGAUUAGUGAGCGAUAGAGAGGAAGUUUGGAUGGAUUGGAAGCUCAGCUUUGGAAAAGUAUGAUGAGAGUUUUAGUUUAGCCUUUGGAGAGGCUCUGGGAAGUGCAACUCAAUUGGAGAAAGAGAGUUAUUCUAAAACGAAAGCAAAGAGAUCAAUAGCUGGGAAUGGGUAUGAAUGGGAAAUUAAGUGCAUUGCAUUUCCCAAUAGUCGAAAAACAGUUAGAAGCUCAAUUUUCUACAAAGAGCGUAAUGGAAGAGGUACUCUCUAUAAUUACUUCCAAAAACCGAAAUAGCUCUAUUUCGCUACACUGAGAAAACAAAAAUCCAACUUUUUAAGAGAUAAACGCAGGGAGCCGCUUUGAAGCUCUCCUUCAUUCAGCGUAAGUGCCCUGCCUCUGCUCCUUCCAUUGCUCUGAAGCCAUUGCAUCGAGAGAGAUAGUCAUAUAGACACUCUAAAUGGCGGAUCCACACCGAGAGCGUAAGUCCGCUGCGCUUGCUCUUUCCAUUUCUCCGACGCCAUUCUAACGAGAGAGACAGUUCCGCAGCACAGGAUCCAAAGCAACAGGGUAAGGGCGCUGCGCUCGCUCCUUCCAUUUCUUCGACGCCAUUCCAUUGAGAAAGACAAAGUCAUCGGAAGAAAAUUUUAAAUGGCAAUUGCAGUUGCAGCGAUCUUUUUUCAAGUGAAUAUUAACUUCAUUUUAAGCCUGAAGUUUUGAACGGCGGAUCCACAGCGAGAGCGUUAGUUCGCUUCCCGUGCUCCUUCCAUUCCGAGGCUCCGAGGCCAUUUUAUCCAGAGAGAGUUCCAUAGAAACUUUAAAUGGCGGAUCCACAGCGAGAGCGUAAAUCCGCUGCGCUUGCUCCUUCCAUUUCUCCGACGCCAUUCUAACGAGAGAGAGAGAGUUCCGCAGCACAGGAUCCACAGCGAGAGUGUAAAACCGCUGCGUUUGCUCCUUCCAUUUCUUCGGCGCCAUUCCAUCGAGACAGAGUUCCACAGAAGAUCCAUUUGUAUGCUGCGCCUGCUCCGGAAAACUACGUCAUCGGAGGAGGACUAGCGAUGUGUUUAUAAGUGAAUAUUUAGUUUAUUUAAAGAUUAUAGCCGUGAAAAAAUUGGAAUAGUUUAGAACUGCGCAAUUACCAUUCCACUUCCAUUCUUGCCUCGCCUGCUAAGCCUGGAAGUCCGUGCUGACGAAAAUUUUCUUCACAAGUUCCAGGUGAGAAUGAGGGAGUGAGUGGAACGGAGAUAAAGUGCAAGCUGCCGAUUUACCGUUUGAAUAUGAAUGGAAUAUGCGACCGAGAUGAGAGGCUAUUGGAAGUAAUGCGAUAUUGGAACUUGAAUUACAUUAUAUACAUAUAAUAUUUAAAUGGAAAAGUAUUAAUUUCAAAAGUGGUUGGCGCUAUAAUGGAUAGAAAUAUUUGAAAAUUCAACGAAGGAGAACUAUAAAGAAAUAAGUUUAAAAGACACAGUUACGGGCUGGGAAUUGCCGUUUAGAUUUUAAAACAUGGAAUGGAUAUUGGAACUAAGGACUAUUUUAAAGGAGAAAUCAACAGGAAACAUAUGAAACUUUACAGGAAUCAUGAAAUCUAAUCUAAUAUCUACAAACAUUUUAAAAAUGAAUUAAAACAUCAAUCAAACUAGGCGGGGGUAAGUACAGACUCUUUUUGUAUUAUUUCUUAUAAUUCUGGCUUUGAAAAGCUAGAAAAUGUUAACUUUAAAGUAGAACUAGAACUACUAGAAUCUCUAGACUAUAGAACCAGAAUGAAACUACAUAUUGUAUAACUAGAACUAGACACAUAUUGUAACUAGGAACUAGAACCUCUAGAACCUUUGAGAAUAAAACUACAACCAUAAUCUUAAGAUUAAAUUAAGAUUAGAAACUGAACCACUAGUUAAGUUUUUGGACAACGGAUGGACAAUGGAGAAUACAACAGAAAUCAACUUGAAGGACUAUUUAAAAGGAGAAAUCAACAAGAAACACAUGAAACUGUUAAGGAAUUUUAAAAUGUCAACUUGAAGGACCACUUUAAAGGAGAAAUCAACAAGAAACAUAUAUGAACUUUCAAGGAAAUAUACAACUAUAAUAUACAACUAUAAAUAUACAAAUAACUCUAAAAAUUAGACAACCAUCUAAUACUCUACAAAAAUCAUCUUGAAAAUGAAAUAGAACUGCAAUUAACCUACAGACAGGGUUUAGUUUAUGAUGAAAUGGAGAGUGCAACAGAAAUCAACUUAAUGGACUAUUUUAAAGGAAAAAUCAACAAAAAACACAAUCAACUUUCAAGAAAUUAGAAAAUAUUCAUCUUUAAGAUCUCUAACAGUUCUACAAUCAUCAAAUACCAUACAAAAAUUAUGUUAAAAAUGAAAUAGAACUGCAAUUAACCUACAGACUGGGUUUUUAAACAACGGAAUAAAAGUUACUUCAAGGAGUAUAUUUAAAUGGAAAAAUGAACAAAAAGCACAUGAAACUCUAAAGGAAUUGUGAAAUAUACAGCUUUAGUAAUUAUAACAGUUAUACACAGUUAAAAAUGAAUUAAAACAUAAAGUUAAAACAACAAUCAACCUACAGACAGGGAAAUUGCAAAACUCCUCAUCCUGAUCUGAACCCCUUUGUUUGGCCCACGGUCCUUGGUCCUUGGUCCUUGGAGAGCCUGCUUCGUCCUCCUGGCGGCCAUUUUGUAGUUUGUUUUAUUGCAAUUGCAUUACAAAGUCGCAGAUGCUGACAAGUGGAUCCCGGCCCCGAAAAUGUUAUUCAUAGAGCUGGAGCGGAACAAACGCUUAUUACACCUUUUAAUUGAGAAUUUAUGGCGGACAUGAGUUGGAGGUUCGAGGAGGUGGCCAGGCCAGAGAGCCUGGCGGCUAAUUUACAGCCAUGGCGGACAAUGGAAAGGCCGACAAGAGCGACCCGAGACACGACCCCACAGCUCUCUCCCCCCUCUACCCCUCUCAGCCAUCAAUUUAUGCCGCCCACCUUCGACCUCGAGGGAUAAGCAAAUAAUCCCCUUAUAAUUAGCAGCCAACAGAACAGGAAUGGGGGAAAAAACGAAACGAGACGAGAAACGGUGACACCAACAAGCCUCUUCAUGGACAACAACAUUCCGGACUCUUAUAUCGUAAUAUUGCAGGACAGCCCACCCAAAUGAAGUCCUUCGACCGAGAGUCCUUCGACUAGAUGAGAAAUGACCAUAAUAUAUAGUCUAUAUUAUAAUCACAAAUUAUUGAAAUAAAAAUGCAUUGUUUGAGUUUUAUUUUUCUUUUACACUUUUAUUGAAUUCAUAGUUUGGUUUUUGGGUUUUUUUUGGUUUUUUGAAUCGCACGUCUUGGGCUCUUUUCAAAUUCUUCUCUGGUUCAAAUUGCAUACUUUUGGGCUGCUUGAAAGUGUCCUUGCGUGUGUCUGUUUAUGUCUGUGUCAGAGAGUGUGCAUGUCAGUACAUGUCUGGAUGUGUCUGCCAGUGUGACCAUGCUGUGUAUCUGGUAGUGAUUCUUUACCUCUACCUUUUCUUCUUUUGUUAAUUUUCUCUCUUAAAUGUUAUGCAAUUUAAUCCAUAAUUCUUGUUCUUUUUCUUGUUCUUGUUCCGCUUGAGAUGGUAGGUUUCUGUUCUGUUCGCUUAUCCAUUUCGUAAAUAUAGUUUAUUAUGAAUUGGUAAUAUUUCAAAGUGUUCCAUUUCAAUUGGAGCAACGUACAUUUAUUUUUUCAUUGAGUCUCAUUUUUUUUUUCUUGCAUUUUUUUGUAUUUUUUUGUUGUAUUUUUAUGUAACCACAUUAAAAUUGUUUGCAUUUAUCGCCACUGUGUUUAUGCUUAAAAUUGUAUUUAACAUAUUUACUUUAAAAAUGUUUUUUUUUUUUUUUUUUGUCAUUUUCUCUUAUAUUUUUUUCCACUUUUGUUUUUUUUUUUUGUUUUUGCGAAUUUCUGUUUACUUUUUCCUUUAAUUAACUCUAUCAGGAAAAUAACAUUAAACGAAAAAAUGGUAAAAAGAAAAAAGAAUGAAAAACUGACAAUAAAAUUCCAACGAAAAUUGAGAAAAAAAAAAAAAUUGUAAUAAUAAUAGGGUCAACACAUUUUUAAUUAUCGCUUAUCAUUUACAUACAUAUUUAUAUCGGUUUCAUUAAAUUACAAUACUCUAUAUAGUCAUAGGUUUAGCAUCUGCAACAUGGACUUUAUUUUCACCUUAUUUUAUACAUUUAUAGAAAUUUUUCAGUUUUUCUUAAUUCUUUUUUCUUUCUUUUGUUAUUUUUCUGUUUUUUGGUUUUUAUUUUUUCUAUCUGACACUUAUAUAGCUUUUGAAUUUUUUGAAAUGUGGUUUGUUUUUGGGUGCCUCUGGUAUUGAUAUUGAAUUUAAUUCAAUUUCUAUUUAAGAUUUAAACACUCACUUCAAGUUCGGCUUAGACUAGUGCAUGGAGAAGGGUAUUUGGAAAGGGUAUUUGAAAAUCAAAGCACUCAAGAGAUUACAAAUAGGUACAUUAACUAAUUGUGGUUGGCAGCUCUUUUUAGAGAUCCUUCGAUCCUUUUUCGUAGAUCUUUCCAGCUCUCUGCCCCACAAUCCAACAAGAGAUACUUUUUCUAUAAUUUUUUUUUGGUCUUAUCUUUCUCAUGCACUGUUUUUUAGCCUUUCUCACAAAACACUUUCGUUUUUUUUUUUUGUCAAUUUUCUAUUCGUAAUCACAUUCAUAAAAUAUAACCUCUUGACCUUCGAUUUCGCUAAGUGUACCAUACAUACA